rnacentral:rRNA from 1 species
AUGGACGGGGGUUUCGGGCAUUGUGUCGAGUAUUUCGAUGCAAAUAGAUGCGGCUACAAGUGGGAUCAGAUCCACAGGGUUAGGUACGGACAGGAACUUCUUGUCCCGCUCCACCGACGAGCUGGUGCGCAGCAACGCCCAGGGCGAGUCCGCAGUUAUUGCAACAAGUGCAAUGAUCCUAUGGUUUCGACAGAAGCGUCGUGCUCCACCGAGUGCAAGCUCGCGGUGGUCGACGAAGGGAGGCCUGCAGGGAGGGCGAAGGCACAGGCCAUGGUGAAUGCUGACUUCCACCAGCAGUUCUUUCCCGAUAGGUUUUGUACGCUGUGCAGGAGAUUUUACGCCUCGGCGUUCUGCGGCACUCAUGCCCAGUCGCACCAUCCGGGGCAGGGCGGCGAGAUUAUCAGAUUUGUGCGAGCCCAGGGGAUGGUGCUGACGCCGGUGGCGGGAGUACUGCCCGCCCAUGUCGUUGACGGCGUACAGGUCAUCUACGUUGGUGGCAUCCCGAUGGUUCCCAUUCUCAGCCCUGCGGUGCCUGCCGACCUCGAGUCCGAGAACAUGUGCCCCAUCUGCUUUCAAGUAAUCGGAGCCGGCAACUUCUGUUCUUUGCAUUGCAAGUGGACUAGUUUUGGGGACUUGCAGCGAUGGUCUGUGCUUCCUUCGUGUGUGGGGAAUCCCCUUCCUCGGUGGCGGAGGUGGAGGUCUGCACGUUGUGCCGUAGUGUGGAGGAAGAGGGAGCUUGAAGACAUCAGCAGUGGCGGGAUUGGAGUGGUGCCAUGGUUCAAUCAUGUCCGUCUGUAG